rnacentral:rRNA from 1 species
UACGAAGGGGCUAGCGUUGUUCGGAGUUACUGGGCGUAAAGGGCGCGUAGGCGGCGCACCAAGUCAGGCGUGAAAGCCCUGGCUCAACCCGGGAAUUGCGCUUGAGACUGGUGUGCUUGAGUACGGGAGAGGAUAGUGGAAUUCCCAGUGGUAGAGGUGAAAUUCGUAGAUAUUGGGAAGAACACCGGUGGCGAAGGCGGCUAUCUGGACCGUAACUGACGCUGAGGCACGGA